UACAGAGGAGCCAAGCGUUGUCCGGAUUGACUGGGCGUAAAGCGCACGCAGGCGGAUGCGCGCGUGGGGUGUGAAAUCUGGCCGCUUAACGGCCAGGCGCCAUCCCAUACGGCGCGUCUGGAGUGAUGCAGAGGUCGGUGGAAUUGCCGGUGUAGUGGUGAAAUGCAUAGAUAUCGUCAAGAACACCGAUAGCGAAGGCAGCUUACCAAGCUGUAACUGACACUGAGGCACGAAAGUGUGGGGAUCAAACAGG
rnacentral:rRNA from 1 species